UACGGGGGGGGCAAGCGUUGUUCGGAAUUACUGGGCGUAAAGGGCUCGUAGGUGGCCAACUAAGUCGGACGUGAAAUCCCUCAGCUUAACUGGGGAACUGCGUCCGAUACUGGAUGGCUCGAGUUUGGGAGAGGGAUGCGGAAUUCCAGGUGUAGCGGUGAAAUGCGUAGAUAUCAAGAGGAACACCUGCGGCGAAGGCGGGUUGCUGGGCCGGCACUGACGCUGAGGCGCGAAAGCCAGGGGAGCGAACGGG
rnacentral:rRNA from 1 species